UAAGCGGAGGAGAAGAAACUAACCAGGAUUCCCCUAGUAACGGCGAGCGAACCGGGAAGAGCCCAGCUUGAAAAUCGGAGGGCUUCGCCCCUCGAAUUGUAGUCUGGAGAAGCGUCCUCUGCAUCGGACCGGGCCCAAGUUCCCUGGAACGGGACGAGAGAAAGGGUGAGAUCCCCGUCGAGCCCGGACCCUGAUGCUCCACGAGGCGCUGUCGGCGAGUCGGGCUGUUUGGGAAUGCAGCCCUAAGCGGGUGGUAAAUUCCAUCCAAGGCUAAAUACCGGCGAGAGACCGAUAGCGAACAAGUACCGCGAGGGAAAGAUGAAAAGGACUUUGAAAAGAGAGUUAAAGAGUGCUUGAAAUUGCUGGGAGGGAAGCGAAUUGAAGCUGCGGUUGCGCCCCGGUUGGAUGCGGGACGGGGAUAGUUGUCCGCCGUUCAACGCGGGGGGUUGUCAGGUGGGCCGUCGCGGCGGGAACAAGAGCCGGCUUUCGUUGCCGGCCGAUGCCGUUGUGGCGGCCGAGGAACGAAGCGCGCGCCCUUCUGGGCGGGCCCUUCGGGGCACCUGCGCGCUCGGGACGCUGGCGAUCGAGCUCUCCAUCCGACCCGUCUUGAAACACGGACCAAGGAGUCUAACAUGUAUGCGAGCCGGUGGGCGGCAAACCCAUUGAGGCGUAAGGAACCUGACAGGUGGGAUCCCCUUUCCGGGGGAGCACCAUCGACCGACCGUGAUCUUCUGUGAAAGGUUUGAGUGCGAGCAUGCCCGUUGGGACCCGAAAGAUGGUGAACUAUGCCUGAGCAGGGCGAAGCCAGAGGAAACUCUGGUGGAGGCUCGUAGCGAUACUGACGUGCAAAUCGUUCGUCAGACUUGGGUAUAGGGGCGAAAGACUAAUCGAACCAUCUAGUAGCUGGUUCCCUCCGAAGUUUCCCUCAGGAUAGCUGGAGCUCGUGCACUAGUUUUAUC
rnacentral:rRNA from 1 species